rnacentral:rRNA from 1 species
UACAGAGACUGCAAGCGUUUAUUCGGAUUCACUGGGCGUAAAGGGUGCGCAGGUGGCCAAGUGUGUUAGGCGUGAAAGCCCGGGGCUUAACCCCGGAAUUGCCUUUAAGACUGCAUCGCUUGAACAUCGGAGAGGUAAGUGGAAUUCCGAGUGUAGAGGUGAAAUUCGUAGAUAUUCGGAAGAACACCAGUGGCGAAGGCGACUUACUGGACGAUUGUUGACGCUGAGGUGCGAAAGCGUGGGGAGCAAACAGG